UACGUAGGGUGCGAGCGUUGCCCGGAUUUAUUGGGCGUAAAGGGCGCGUAGGCGGCCUGGCGCGUCGGCUGUGAAAUCUCCCGGCUCAACUGGGAAGGGACGGCCGAUACGGCUGGGCUUGAGCGAGGUAGGGGAGAGUGGAAUUCCCGGUGUAGUGGUGGAAUGCGUAGAUAUCAGGAAGAACACCCGUGGCGAAGGCGGCUCUCUGGGACGGUACUGACGCUGAGACGCGAAAGCGUGGGGAGCGAACAGG
rnacentral:rRNA from 1 species